ensembl:lncRNA
AAGUCUUUUGAUCAGCUUCCAAGCCAGGACAGGCGGCCAUCAGGGGAUGAAAUGAGAGACAGAGGCUCAUCUGAGUGAUUAUAGAAAACUCUUACCUAACCAGAGCUCAUAAUGUAAUGGUUCAAUGUCCUUCCCUUUGAAUAGUGGGAGUUGAGCUGUAUUUCUUAGACUGGAAACCAGAAUGAAGUGUAUGGAAGUUCCAAACACUGGGAAGGUUUUUGACUUGGCCAAGAAAUUUCUCUGAACUAUACUGGUGAAAGCACUAAGAGGUUCGUGAAGCUACUCCUUUGAGAAAGGUGAUAGAGAAUUAAAUGGAACCAGCCAUAUGCAGAACGUCAGGGAUUAGUAGUGAUCUGGGCAGUCUGGAUGCUUAAUGAAGAGGUAGUGAGACGCGUGAUAGAAACAGCCCUCCUUCCAGCUCCUCCUCCAUACGAUGCUUGACGAUGGUACCCGUGGUAAGCCUCACACACCUCUUUCCCUGCCACGUCAGCAGAGUCCACGGAGCCCUUUUCUACAUAUCAGUUCUCAUAGCCACCGGGCAUUCAGUGGCUGUUCACAUGGUCAGAAUUGGACGAGGAUUUGGGAAAUCAAUAAAACAUUCUGUCUUAGACAUCUUUGGGGAAAUCUUGCUUGGCCCACAGGUUCCUCUGUCCUUGGAAUUCUUCAAGUAAGAAUACUGGAGUGGAUAAAAAUGCCCUUCUCCAGGGGAUCUUCCUGACCCAGAGAUCAAACCCCAGUCUCCUGCAUUGCAGCCAGAUUCUUUACCAUCUGAGCCACUAGGAAGGCCUUUUGAAGACCAUUCCCAAGAAUAAGAAAUGUUAAAGGCAAAAUGGUGAUCUGAGGAGGCCUUACAAAUAGCUGUGAAAAGAAGAGAAGCUAAAGGCAAAGGAGAAAAGGAAAGAUAUACCCAUUUCAAUGCAGAUUUCCAAAGAAUAGCAAGGAGAGAUAAGAAAGCCUUCCUCAGUGAUCAGUGCAAAGAAAGAGGAAAACAACCCAAUGGGAAAGACUAUCGAUCUCUUUAAGAAAAUUAGAGAUACCAAGGGAACAUUUCAUGCAAAGAUGGGCACAAUAAAGGACAGAAAUGGUAUGGACCUAAACAGAAGAAGAAGAUAUUAAGAAGAGGCGGAAAGAAAACACAGAAGAACUAUGCAAAAAAGAUCUUCAUGACCCAGAUAAUCACGAUGGUGUGAUCACUCACCUAGAGCCUGACAUUCUGGAAUGCAAAGUCAAGUGGGCCUUAGGAAGCAUCACUAUGAACAAGGCUAGUGGAGGUGAUGGAAUUCCAGUUGAGCUAUUCCAAAUCCUGAAAGAUGAUGCUGUGAAAGUGCUGCACUCAAUAUGAUAGCAAAUUUGGAAAAUUCAGGAGUGGCCACAGGACUGGAAAAGGUCAGUUUUCUUUCCAAUCACAAAGAAAGGCAAUGCCAAAGAAUGCUCAAACUACCACACAAUUGCACUCAUCUCACACACUAGCAAAGUAAUGUCCAAAAUUCUCCAAGCCAUGUUUCAACAGUACAUGAACCGUGAACUUCCAGAUGUUCAAGCUGGUUUUAGAAAAGGCAGAGGAACCAGAGAUCAAAUUGCCAACAUUUGUUGGAUCAUCGAAAAAGCAAGAGAGUUCCAGAGAAACACCUAUUUCUGCUUUAUUGACUAUGCCAAAGCAUUUGACUGUGUGGAUCACCACAAACUGUGGAAAAUUCUUAGAAAGAUGGGAAUACCAGAUCACCUGACUUGCCUUUUGAGAAAUCUGUAUGCAAGUCAGAAAGCAACAGUUAGAACAUGACAUGGAACAACAGACUGGUUCCAAAGGAGUACGUCAAGGCUGU